rnacentral:piRNA from 1 species
UGGGAAUUAGUCUGUGAGAGAGUUAAU